rnacentral:rRNA from 1 species
UACGAAGGGGGCUAGCGUUGCUCGGAAUCACUGGGCGUAAAGGGUGCGUAGGUGGUUCUUUAAGUCUGCUGUGAAAGCCCCGGGCUCAACCUGGGAAUGGCAGUGGAUACUGGAGAGCUAGAGUGCGGUAGAGGGUAGUGGAAUUCCCGGUGUAGCAGUGAAAUGCGUAGAGAUCGGGAGGAACACCAGUGGCGAAGGCGGCUACCUGGACCAGCACUGACACUGAUGCACGAAAGCUAGGGGAGCAAACAGG